rnacentral:snRNA from 1 species
AGUCUUCGGCGGCACAUAUACUUAAAAAAAAUUGGAAUGAUACAGAGAAGAUUAGCAUGGCCCCUGCACAAGGAUGAUACGCAAAUUCGUGAAGCAUUCCAUAUUAAA